CUUGGCCAUCAGAGGCAACUGCAAAAUCAAAGUGCACCAAAUACUCCCAUUCUUGCUGCACUUUGUGAUGAGCUAUAGAAAUUCAGAAAAUGCCAGCCACCCAGGAUGUUGGUUGGACCUUUGCCCUCAGAAGGUUUGCCCAUCUGGGUCAUCAUAGAGGAGAUGGUGGCUGGACCAAGGCUCUGAUAAUCUGCUCCUAAUGUUCAUCUUUCUAGUGCAAUGCCCAUUCAUCAGGACAAAGAGAGAAGGAGCCCUUUACUGCCUCUCCCUCCUGAGGGCCGCGGGCUGUUAGGGCUGGCCUCCGUCCUCGAUGCAGUGUGCAGGUUAUUGUGGAUGAUCAUCUUGGUACUGGGCCUCUCCUGCCUGCUGGGUCAGGCUUGGUGGAUAAAGAGACUGGCUCACCACUGCAAGAGUCUUCUGGGCUGACAUAUGGUGAGUGAGGCAUUUGAUGGGUGUAAUUCUGGUCUGCGGGAUUUAUUGCCGUAAGUUGGUCAGUGCUGCCUGGUGGUGAAGUGAAGCCAUCCUUUGAUGGCUUCAUCUAUUGCGGACAUGAUAUUCUAUAUCUUCUCUGGUGCUGACCCUCUUCAUACCCUGCAACAAGUUCCAGAAGUGGAAACAGUAAAACAUCUGCCUCUCUGUCACCACGUUUUUCUCUGUGAUCAUCUGAAGAGACUGUAUGACAUGAGCCUCUUCAUCAGAGCUGAGCUGAGGCCUGGAGACCUGUGAGGUCACCGCAUUGUGCCCAUCUUCCUCUCAUUAAUGGGCAGGACUUUCUCAUCUCCCUUUUCAUCUUCCAUGUCAUCUUCAGUUUUCAGUGAGCCAUCAUUCCAACCUGCUGGCAAACACCCAGGAAUGGAGGACAUGGAGUUAGAAGAGUCAGUGCAUGAACAGCAAGACCUUCUAGAUGCAUGAGCACAACGCAGCUCUCUGAACGGCACGAUUUCCCAAAGGCGCUUUGGGAAAACUUACCUGAUUGUCCUCUUAGAAGAAACAGGUAUCGGCCCACUGGGAUAGUGGUGGUGCUCCACGAUGAGACUAUCCCAAAUGCUACAUCAAGUUACACUGGAAACAGCUC
rnacentral:lncRNA from 1 species